CCUACGGGUGGCAGCAGUAGGGAAUGUUCGGCAAUGGGGGGAACCCUGACCGAGCAACGCCGCGUGAAGGAAGAAGGAAUUCGUGCUGUAAACUUCUGUUAUAAAGGAAGAAAGACGGAUGGAGGAAAUGACAUCCGAGUGACGGUACUGGAGGAGAAAGCCACGGCUAACUACGUGCCAACAGCCGCGGUAAUACGUAGGUGGCAAGCGUUAUCCGGAAGUAUUGGGCGUAAAGAGGGAGCAGGCGGCAGCAAAGGUCUGGGGUGAAAGACUGACGCUUAACUUCAGUAAGCCAUCGAAACCCGGCAGCUAGAGUGCAGGAGAGGCUCGUGGAAUUCCCUGUGUAGCGGU
rnacentral:rRNA from 1 species